UACGGAGGGAGCUAGCGUUGUUCGGAAUUACUGGGCGUAAAGCGCACGUAGGCGGCUUUGUAAGUUAGAGGUGAAAGCCCGGGGCUCAACUCCGGAAUUGCCUUUAAGACUGCAUCGCUUGAAUCCAGGAGAGGUGAGUAGAAUUCCGAGUGUAGAGGUGAAAUUCGUAGAUAUUCGGAAGAACACCAGUGGCGAAGGCGGCUCACUGGACUGGUAUUGACGCUGAGGUGCGAAAGCGUGGGGAGCAAACAGG
rnacentral:rRNA from 1 species